ACAUGUGUCUCUCAUCUCAGAUCUGCCAAAUGAUGUUGUAAUUAAUUGCAUGCAACCCUCUUUCACCCACUGAACUGGGAGUUCUUUAAAGUUAUAUGUGCAUAUCUGUGUCCUAGGGCCUAGCAUUAAGUCUGGCAUGAUGUUGAUGACAAGUAAGUGUUCGAUAUGUGAAAGUACAAAUGAAUGAAAGAACCAGUGAUGCCAUCUGGACCAGAGCUGGUCUGCCUCAGACCCGGGUCCCACAUUGAGCACAUCAAACUUUGCUGUUCUGAAGGAUAAACUGGGCUAGUACCGAUUAGCUCACUAAACAAAUAUUUCUCCACUGAAGCACAUGCUUGCUCUCCCAUUUCACUCUGUAUUUACUUAUUCAUAGCCCAUAAAAAGCAGUGAGCUGGAAACAUUCAUGUUUCCUCAUUACAUUCCCCAAAGUGGGAGGUUGUUUUCCUCUCAUGUAGCAUUUUUCCAGUGUGUGAAAAUCUCUGGCCUCAAAGCACACUUGUGGGAACCCAUAAUUGAGUCUGAAAUCAUCCAACAGCAGCAGAAAGUUCUUACAGCCCUGAGAGCCUCAGGGAACCAGGACACUUACAGAACCUUGCUGAAAAACACGGGAUCUACAGCAAAAGCCAGAAAAUCCCCAGAGACCAUCUGGACCAACCCCUCCUCUCACAGCUUCCUAUGGGACCAUGGACUCUUGCAUAAGUCCAAACACACCAGCAGCUCAUCUAAAACCUGGGAAUUACUGGUCUCCCACCAUUGACAAGGCUGCAGCUCUUCAGAAUGACUGCUUCCAGUGGUCAGAUCUCAACUCCUUGACAGGUAUCAACCCUUCUGGAAAUACUAUAUCAAAGUCUGUAGAACUGCACAGUAAAUCGAAUGCAUUGUAAAUCCCACACAUAGUCUCUGUUUUACUAAAAAUGAAUAAUAUAUUUGUACUUAUUUGUUAAUAAAUAACAUUUGAUCUUAAAAUCUACCCAUUUCAAGUCAGGAAAAGUUCAAAAAGACAUGGAACCUAAGCUAUUGUAUCUCUCUCACUACACUUGUAAUUUCAUACAAAUGAUUUAAGAAUCCAGAUAGACCAGCCUGACCAACAUGGAGAAACCCUGACUCUACUAAAAAUACAAAAUUAGCCGGGUGUGGUGGCACAUGCCUGUAAUCCCAGUUGCUCGGGGGGCUGAGUCAGGAGAAUUGCUUGAACCCAGCAGGCGGAGGUUGCGGCGGUGAGCUGGAGAUCGUGCCGCUGCACUCCAGCCUGGGCAACAAGAGUGAAACUCCGUCUCAAAAAAAAAAAAAAAAAAAAAGAAAGAAAUCCAGAUAAUAUAAUCUACAAAAGAAGAAAAUGUUAAUACACAUUAAGCAACUACUGACAAAAGUAUUACUUUAGUAUAUGUCAAUCUGAAAAUUAAAUAUACCAAUAAGGUCAGUUGUCUGAAAGGAAAUUAGGUUGAGCAAGAGCUACAUAUAAGAGGAAAAAUGCCCUACUGUGAAAUGGCCACAGUGAGGAAGAAAUCCUAGGAUCAUCACAGGAUAACAAGGCAAUGGGUCACCAUGACAAGGUCCAAUAUAUGCAGCAGACGGAUGUCUUUCUCUCUCUCCCUCUCUCUCUCUCUUUUUCCCCCCUCCCCUCCUCCACUCUCAGUUAUGGAAAAGUGUAAAUAUUUCCCUCUCCUAAAUCCAAGAGAAUAGAAGAUGAGAUAGAGAUAAAGCCAGUAAGCCAAAAAAUACAUAGUGUGAUAAAAGAAAUAAGAAAUAUCAAGUAAAAAAAGUCCUUCUAUCCCGAGACUUUGCUGAAGUUGCUUAUCAGCUUAAGGAGAUUUGGGGCUGAGGCGAUGGGGUUUUCUAAAUAUACAAUCAUGUCACCUGCAAACAGGGACAAUUUGAGUUCCUCUUUUCCUAAUUGAAUACUCUUUAUUUCUUUGUCCUGCCUGAUUGCCCUGGCCAGAACUUCCAACACUAUGUUGAAGAGGAGCGGUGAGAAAGGGCAUCCCUGUCUUGUGCCAGUUUUCAAAGGGAAUGCUUCCAGUUUUUGCCCAUUCAGUAUGAUAGUGGCUAUGGGUUUGUCAUGAAUAGCUCUUAUUAUUUUGAGAUACACCCCAUCAAUACCUAAUUUAUGAAGAGUUUUUAGCAUGAAAGGCUGUUAAAAUUUGUCAAAGGCCUUUUCUGCAUCUAUUGAGAUAAUCAUGUGGUUUUUGUCUUUGGUUCUGUUUAUAUGCUAGAUUAUGUUUAUUGAUUUGCAUAUAUGUUGAACCAGCCUUGCAUCCAGGGAUGAAGCCCACUUGAUCAUGGUGGAUAAGCUUUUUGAUGUGCUGCUGGAUUCGGUUGCCAGUAUUUUAUUGAGGAUUUUUACAUCGAUGUUCAUCAAGGAUAUUGGUCUAAAAUUCUCAUUUUUUGUUGUGUCUCUGCCAGGCUUUGGUAUCAGGAUGAUGUUGUGCCUGAGUCAGGGAGGAUUCCCUCUUUUUUUAUUGAUGGAAUA
rnacentral:lncRNA from 1 species